GACGGGUGAGUAACACGUGGGAUCGUGCCCUUCCGGUUCGGAAUAACUCAGGGAAACUUGAGCUAAUACCGAAUACCCCCUUUUGGGGAAUGGUUUACUGCCAAAUGAUCGGCCCGCGUCUGAUUAGCUUUUGGUGGGGUAACGGCCUACCGGGCGACGAUAAGUAUCUGGGUGAGAGGAUGAUCAGCCUUGUGGGACUGAGAGCGGCCCAUACUCCGACAGGAGGCAGCGUGGGGAAUAUUGGAUGAUGGGCGCAAGCCUGAUCCCCCAUGCCGCGUGAGUGAUGAACGCCUUAUCGUUGUGAGCUCUUUUGUCCGGGAUGAUGAUGACAGUCCGGAAGAAUAAGCCCCGGCUUACUUCGUGCCAGCCCCGCGAUAAUACCAAGGGAGCUAGCGUUGCUCGUAAUCACUGGUCGUACGGGCGCGUAGGCUGCUUUUUAAGUCGGUGGUGACAGCCUGUGGCUCAGCCACAGAGUGCCUUCAAUACUGAUAGCUUGAUACCGGACAGGAUGCGGACCUGCUGUGUAGAGUGAUUUCGUAUAUAUGCGCAAGACACCGUAGAAACGCUCUGUGUGGUCCGGUUCUCACUCUGAGGCGCGGAGCGUGGGGAGCAACAGAUUAGAUCCCCUGGUCGUCCACGCCAUACACUAUAGAUGCCACCCGUGGUCUACUCUGCUCGUCAGUCGCGCCUCUCACAGCAUUAAUCAUUCCCCGCGGGGAGUACGGUCGCAGAUAACACUCACAGGAUUGACGGCGCCCGC
rnacentral:rRNA from 1 species